rnacentral:rRNA from 1 species
GAAAGCGGGGCUAAUACCGGAUAANNUCUUUUGGGCUCCGGCCUUUUGGAUCAAAGGUGGCCUCUACAUGUAAGCUAUCGGUUGGAGAUGAGCCCGCGUACCAUUAGCUUGUUGGUAGGGUAACGGCCUACCAAGGCCGCGAUGGUUAGCUGGUCUGAGAGGAUGAUCAGCCACACUGGAACUGACACACGGUCCAGACUCCUACGGGAGGCAGCAGUGAGGAAUUUUGCGCAAUGGGGGAAACCCUGACGCAGCAACGCCGCGUGAGUGAUGAAGGCCUUCGGGUCGUAAAGCUCUGUCAAGUGGGAAGAACCUGAUGUAUGCUAAUAUCAUAGAUCACUGACGGUACCACUGAAGGAAGCACCGGCUAACUCCGUGCCAGCAGCCGCGGUAAUACGGAGGGUGCAAGCGUUAUUCGGAAUCACUGGGCGUAAAGGGCGCGCAGGCGGUUUGGUAAGUCAGAUGUGAAAGCCCGGGGCUCAACCCCGGAAGUGCAUUUGAUACUGCCAAACUUGAGUAUGGGAGAGGGGAAGUGGAAUUCCUGGUGUAGAGGUGAAAUUCGUAGAUAUCAGGAGGAACACCGGUGGCGAA